rnacentral:lncRNA from 1 species
AAUUGCUCCUGAGACCCAACAGGCAGCAACGGUCCCAAGGGUGAGGGAGUGGGCAGGGAGAGGCUGAUGGGGCUUCUACACGUUCCCUCCCGUAGCUGGGCUGCUGCAGCUCGUUCGCCCCAGAGGCGCGCGGUGUCCUUGAGUCCAAGUAUUCAGCGCGGACGUUUGGGGGACGGAGGGAGAGGCGCUAGGGGAACUGGCACCUAAGACUGUGUAAUAGGACACAGGUCUUGCAAGUCCUCCUCCCCAGGCACCGCCCCUGUGCUCCCAGCGCCUCUUUGCAGCUUUAAUUAUCCUUUCAGCGCCGUUCCCCCGCGGCUGCGUUUCCGUGGUCAGAGGAAAAAGGCUCUUUCGCCUCCCGGUUCUCACCCUCAUACAGACCCUCCUUUCAGACCCGCCCUCCUGUUCACAGGGACCCAUUUCGGAGCCCUGGCUCACGCUGGGCGGGAACUGCCGUGACGAAUUCCCCCCAAGGUGUUGAUUAUCCAUCCCAACCCAGCCUCUGGCUUCCCUCCCACCUCCACCCCAGCUCCCACAGGCCCCUCGCCCCGUUCAUCGGCUGGGCGCUCGAGACGGCGCCCCCAGAUCUCCCACCGGGCAGUGUCCCCAGCUGCAGCUGAGGAGAGAAGCGCCGGCGUGCGCGGUGCCACGUCGGAAUUGGCUCUGGGGACGCCGCAGCUGCCGAAGCGCAGCGCGCGGUCCCCACGCACGCCCUGCCUCCGGGCGGCCGGCGGGCUGGCCCGGCGAGGAGAGGAGGGAUGCGCGCCCUCCUCCCGCUCCUAUCUGCGGGUGCCACCGCCUGCGUCAGGGACCCCUGGCCCGAUCUUUCUGCCCCCGAUAACAGAAAAUCUCUUUUUCGUCUUAAAAAAAAAAAAAAAAAAAAAAAAAGCCUGUGGAAGACUCAGCAGAACCCAGGAAGCGCAGAAUUGGGAGAAAAGUCUUUGGCUGGGGCUGUUUCAAGUCUCUGGUUCAAUGGGCUGCUCGAAGCCAGGACUGGGUAAUUCUUUCCAGACGUCUUGACUUCUCCUUCCCCGCCGUUGUUGCCCUUCUGCCUCCUCCAACUUAAGGGGGUCUUAACAAGAUCUUCUGAGGGGUGGACUUCUUUGGAACUCGACAGGACCUUGAAGACUGGGUUCUUAGUCCUUAUCACAUAUAUGGGCUAUAAUGAAUAAGUCUAAACAGAAAAGUCGAAUAAACUGGAAAUGAUGCUUUCAUCACGUCGCACAAGGAGCUGUUUGGAUCAGAAGAUGACAUCCUUUCACCCAUCCCUUUCAGGUUUUGACAUCCUAAAAUGUACCUUAUGGAACCCAUACCUGUUAUGUUUUCACCUGUACAAGGCAACAGAGAAAACAUGGUAGUUUUUACUUGAGUAGAUGUGACUUAGCAAUAUGUUGUUGCUGACCUCCAUCCCACAGCACAAAACAUAUGUUUAUAUGUCUGACAGACAAAGUAUCCAGAACAAGGAUUUAGUACCUUCAUAAUCCUCUGUAUAUGUGGUUCUAGAACUUUUGGUAAAGAAACUCUUUAUACUCUUAUUAAUUAUUGAGAACCUCAAAAAAAGUUUAUAUGUUAUAUGUAUCAAUAUUUACCACAUUAGACAUUAAAGCUGACUUAAAAAGUUAAAAUACUUAAGUCAUUUGAAGUAAUAAUAAAUGCAGUUACAUACCAACUUAAUAACAUUUUGCGAAAAUAGCUAUUUUUCAAAACCUAAAGUGAGAAAAGUGGCAGUUUUCCAUUUUUGCAAAUCUCUUUGCUGUCUAGCUGAUAGAAGACAGCUGGAUUCUCCUAUUUGCUUUUGCAUUCAAUUGUUGUUUUGAUUGAAGUAUAUGAAAAAAAAUCUGGUGUCAUACACAUAUAUAAUUGGGAAAUGGAAGAGUAUUUACACAGGCUUUUUUAGAUAUUCUUCCUUUAUACUACAUCAAAACUUGAUAAGUUGCAAUGUUGUGAAUUGGCCCAGGGCUUGGCCCUCUGAAGAUUUGCUGAAAAUCACUGACAUGAAGUAGAUUAAUAGGAUAAAAGGCAUAUACAUUUAUUUAAUGUGUAUACACAGCGGCCUUUAGAAUGAAGACCCAAAGAUACAGAAGAAAUUGUCUGUUUUUAUGCUUAAGUUUAACAAAGAAUGGGCAGCCGUGUAGAGAUAGGAUAGGACAAAAAGGGCAUAAUCUAAUGCUAGCUGACUGAGUGAGGAAGCCCAGCAAGGCCUGUCAGUGUCUCCUCAGUAUGAGUGAAUUUUGUGUACUCUGAUAAUACAUUAAAAUCUGUUUAUGUACUCUGAUAACACAUUCAAAAAAAAAAAAAAA